GAUGAACGCUGGCGGCGUGCCUAAUACAUGCAAGUCGAGCGAACAGACGAGGAGCUUGCUCCUCUGACGUUAGCGGCGGACGGGUGAGUAACACGUGGAUAACCUACCUAUAAGACUGGGAUAACUUCGGGAAACCGGAGCUAAUACCGGAUAAUAUAUUGAACCGCAUGGUUCAAUAGUGAAAGACGGUUUUGCUGUCACUUAUAGAUGGAUCUGCGCCGCAUUAGCUAGUUGGUAAGGUAACGGCUUACCAAGGCAACGAUGCGUAGCCGACCUGAGAGGGUGAUCGGCCACACUGGAACUGAGACACGGUCCAGACUCCUACGGGAGGCAGCAGUAGGGAAUCUUCCGCAGUGGGCGAAAGCCUGACGGAGCAACGCCGUGUGAGUGAUGAAGGUCUUCGGAUCGUGAAACUCUGUUAUUAGGGAAGAACAAAUGUGUAAGUAACUAUGCACGUCUUGACGGUACCUAAUCAGAAAGCCACGGCUAACUACGUG
rnacentral:rRNA from 1 species